UACGAAGGGGGCUAGCGUUGUUCGGAAUUACUGGGCGUAAAGCGCGUGUAGGCGGGUCUUUAAGUCAGGGGUGAAAUGCCAAGGCUCAACCUUGGAAAUGCCUUUGAUACUGGAGAUCUUGAGUCCGGGAGAGGUGAGUGGAAUUGCGAGUGUAGAGGUGAAAUUCGUAGAUAUUCGCAAGAACCCCAGUGGCGAAGGCGGCUCCCUGGCCCGGAACUGACGCUGAGACGCGAAAGCGUGGGGAGCAAACAGG
rnacentral:rRNA from 1 species